CUCAAAAUUAAAGCUCCCAAUAAACCCAUCGUCCCACCAAAUCAAUGGCAGCGAGACACUAGUGGAAAACCCCCAAAUCCUUUUCCCUUUCUCGUUCAAAAUUCCAACCAGUGGUUAACCAUAAUCCCCAUGUCCCCAAAUCAAAUUGCGGGCUGACCCAAAAGUCCUAAAUCCCCAAAGUCCCAAUCCUUUUGUUUUGCUCAAAGGAGAGAUGGCGCCAAAAAAGAAUAGACGAAAAAUCUAAAAGGCAGCGAUUACAGGUGGGUUUUCAGUUUAAUAAUCUUGUUUCUCUUGAUUUGCUCCAAUCCACGAGGAAAAACAGAAGGAGACUUCUAAUGCUCUAUCAAGUAAGAACAUAUUUGUGGCUACUUGAUCGAGUAUACAAAGCCUCGUAUGCGGUGGAGAAAAUGUUGAAAGGAAAGGUGAAAGAGAUGAAGAUCUAGACCUUACUUGAGAAGACUUAUAAAUUGUUGAUGAAACUUUAGAUAUUCUAGCUAGGUGCGAACCUUUAGGAACUUAAUUGUAAAAUUUAUAUGAACUCUAGUUAGAACAUUUUAUUUUGUGGCUACUACUAGCUUGUUGGAUAAUUAAUCUGGAUUGUGAAUGUUUAUGAAUA